UCGAGGAUUUUUGGCAAUGAGCGCAAGCUUGACCAAGCGAUGCCGCGUGCGGGAUGAAGGCCUUCGGGUUGUAAACCGCUGUCAGUGUGGAGGAAAAUUUGGUGUAUAGCCAAAUUUGACUAAUACGCAGAGGAAGUGAGGGCUAAACUCGUGCCAGCAGCCGCGGUAAGACGAGUCUCACGAACGUUAUUCGGAAUUACUGGGCUUAAAGGGUGCGUAGGCGGUGGAGUAAGUCGGAUGUGAAAUACCAUAGCUUAACUAUGGAACUGCACUCGAUACUACUUUGCUAGAGUAAGACAGAGGUGAGUGGAACUGAGGGUGGAGCGGUGAAAUGCGUUGAUAUCCUCAGGAACACCGGUGGCGAAGGCGACUCACUGGGUCUUUACUGACGCUGAUGCACGAAAGCUAGGGUAGCAAACG
rnacentral:rRNA from 1 species